rnacentral:rRNA from 1 species
UACGUAGGCAGCAAGCGUUGUUCGGAAUUACUGGGCGUAAAGAGUGUGUAGGCGGUGCUCUAAGUUCGGGUGUGAAAUCUCCCGCUUAACUGGGAGGGUGCGCCGGAAACUGGAGUGCUCGAGCGUGGGAGAGGAAAGCGGAAUUCCUGGUGUAGCGGUGAAAUGCGUAGAUAUCAGGAGGAACACCUGCGGUGUAGACGGCUUUCUGGACCAUUGCUGACGCUGAGACACGAAAGCGUGGGUAGCAAACAGG